GAGGGAAUAGCUCAGUGGUAGAGUGUGUGCUUAGCAUGCAUGAGGUCCUGGGUUCAUCCCCAGUACCUGCA
rnacentral:tRNA from 1 species